CAAAGGCUUGGUCCUGACUUUACUGACAGCCCUAACUAAACUUACACAUGCAAGUAUCCGCACUCCCGUGAGAAUGCCCCACAGUUCCCCAAUAGGAAACAAGGAGCUGGUAUCAGGCACAUCUCUCCCCCUUUUAUUAUCCGCCCACGACACCUUGCUUAGCCACACCCUCAAGGGAAUUUCAGCAGUGAAAGACAUUAAGCUAUAAGUGAAAACUUGACUCAGCUAUAGUUAAGAGAGCCGGUAAAACUCGUGCCAGCCACCGCGGUUAUACGAGAGGCCCAAGUUGUCAGUCACCGGCGUAAAGCGUGGUUAAGAACCCCAAACUUACUAAAGCCGCACACCCUAUGAGCUGUUAUACGCAUACGAGGGUGAGAAGAACAACCCACGAAGGUAGCUUCACAAUAUCCGACCCCACGAAAGCCAGGAAACAAACUGGGAUUAGAUACCCCACUAUGCCUGGUCCUAAACAUUUAUAGCACAUCACACUUGCUAUUCGCCUGGGCACUACGAGCACCAGCUUGAAACCCAAAGGACUUGGCGGUACCUCAGAUCCACCUAGAGGAGCCUGUUCUAGAACCGAUAACCCCCGUUUAACCUCGCCCCUUUUCGCCCGCCCGCCUAUAUACCACCGUCGUCAGCUUACCCUGUGAAGGCUUCUAGUGAGCAAGACUGGCAUAACCCUGAACGUCAGGUCGAGGUGUAGCACAUAAAGGGGAAAGAAAUGGGCUACAUUUACUAACUAAGUGCACACGAAUGGUGCGAUGAAAAUUUAUAUACAGAAGGAGGAUUUAGUAGUAAGCUACAAAUAGAGAGUAUUGCUGAAUUUGGCUCUGAAGUGCGCACACACCGCCCGUCACUCUCCCCUCGAUCACUGAUUUUUCCGUACUUAAUUUACCAAAACUUUCAAGGGGAGGCAAGUCGUAACAUGGUAAGCGUACCGGAAGGUGCGCUUGGCCUAG
rnacentral:ncRNA from 1 species